rnacentral:pre_miRNA from 1 species
CGCGGCCGGUACUGAUCCUGCAGUACCAACCCUGUGCGGCCGGUACUGACCCUGCA